CUCUUGCCUUCUGCCAUGUAAGAUAUGACUGUGCUCCUCCUUCACCUUCUGCCAUGAUUGUGAGGCCUCCACAGCCAUGUGGAACUCCAUGAGUAUGACUAUGUGCUGAGUCCUGUGAGUCCUCCUACUGAAUCAUCAAAGCCAGGGGGGAAGCUGUUUUUCCCUCUUUGGGGUCUCAGAGAGAUUGGUGGCAAGGACUCCUGGGAAGAGAAAAGCUGAAGGACACUCUGGCAAGAGGUAAUAAGUUAGUCCUUGCAAAAUGGCCAUGGGCUGGAUGACAAGGAAAGAAGCAGCCAUUACAGGACACAGUGGGUGAAACUGACACAAGCUUAAGUUUUCUAGGAGCAAAUGUAUCUCAUAAUCAAUUUUAAGUUUUUUUUUUGUUCGCAAUUUCCAUAUAUUAUACCCAAGCACUCAGCAAAGUUGCAUUAUACAUCACAGCUCAGUCUAACCUGCAUUUGGAGAAUUAACCCAUUGUCCAUGUUUCUGCAAAGCCUCAUGAAGAGAGAUAUUAAGGGAACAAGAGGUGCCCUGCAAAGAGAUGAAGCUCCAGGCUAAGGUAAUGAGACACAGGGAAGGGGAAUCUUCUAGAAGAAAGAAUAUCAUGCAAUCAAACUAGAUGGGGAAUAGAGCCACAGGAUAUGAAUACUAAAAACAAGUGUAGCCUCUUGUUGCUAGAGGAAGCUAGAAAAUCAAAGUUGCACAUGCUUGUUUUUUGUAACAAAUUACAGUCAGGCUGAAUGUACUAUUUAUGGCCUGCUUAACUGACUUAACAAUAUAUUGUAUCAUUAAAAAUUCUGCUACAACUCAGUUUGUACUGGCUGCUAAUUAUUCUGUUGUAUGGAAAAACUAUAAUUUAUUUUACCAAUAUUCUAUUAUU
rnacentral:lncRNA from 1 species